rnacentral:lncRNA from 1 species
CACUUUUUUUCCCUACGAUGCUCGCAGCCUAUAAUAUAUACCAUUUUUGUUCCGUUAUCUUAAUCUUUUUUUUUUUCCCCAACAUUACUCACAGCCUACAACAACCACCGUUUCCUUUUGUUUAAAAAAAAAAUCCAAUGUGAGUUAAGAGCAAAGUAGAGCUUACUUGCAGGGUGCAGUAACAAACAUUUUUGUUUCAUCGACCCUAUUUUUUUUCCAAUAUUUACUCAAAGUCUGCAGUAACUGACUUUUUUUUUUAUAAAAGAAAUACAAUAUGAGUUCUACCGUGUCUAUGCGAGUAAACAUUGACGAAAAAAAUUAGCAUGGGUCAGUUCUUUUUCACCACCGACCGCCAUUUUCGUUUCACCAUCUCUUUUUUUUUUCUCCCCAACAUUACUCGCAGGCUGCAAUCACUACAAUUUUCAAAAAAUGAGUUCUGUUUCAUCAUCUCAUUUUU